GCAGCGCCUGCACCUCCAGCGCGCGCUGCACGAUCUCCUUCUUGCCCUCGCCCAGCGCCACGAUGGCCACCUCCUUGGCGGCGUUGAUCACGGGCAGGCUGAAGGUGAUGCGCUCCGGCGGCGGCUUGGGCGAGUUGGAGACGGGCAGCACCCAGCCGCUGGUGGCGGCGGUCUCGGGUCGGUUGGGGAAGAGCGAGGCCACGUGGCCGUCGGGGCCCACGCCCAGCAGGAUGAGGUCGAACUUGGGCAGCGCCGCGCCCUCGGUGCGGGGCAGGGCGGCGGCGGGGAUGGAGAUGAUGCGGCCCUCGUACUGCGUGGCGGCCUGGCCCACGGGCAGGCCCUCCGCGAUGGCGUACACCUG
rnacentral:lncRNA from 1 species